CUUUCUACAAUCACAAGAUGGCCGCCGCGGUCGCCUCUGUCCCUCUUCUGCUCCUCUAGUGUUUUAUAAUGAACCCGAACCUGCUGCUGCUUCACACAAACUGAACUGUUCUGUUAUAAAUGCGAUUAUGUUCAUUUUUACAUUCUCUUUUUCGUCCUAACGGGGAUUUUUACGCGUAAGUUUUUCUUUCCUGACAUAAAACAUCAGCUCAAACGGCGCGGUUAAAGUGAAGAUGACGGUGGAAGAGUUUGUGCAUAAAACUCUGGAGCUGCUUCAGGAGGAGAGAGAAGCGGAGAUACAAGAGACCAGGUUGUGGCAGGAGAGUGUGUCGCUGAAGCAGCUGCAGAGUACAGGUGUGUGUUUGCUGAAGCUUCAGGUCGUGUCUCAGGUCACGGGUCUUUACGGACGAACG